UCUCUCGCUCUCUAGCUCUCAUCUCUCUCGAAGUGUGCUCUCACGGUGUUACGCUCGUACGUUGUAAAUCGGUGUAGGGAAAGCUUCGAAUUUACGUUUGAACUAUCCAAGAAAGGGUGAUCGUUUACGAGGAAAGUGUGGUUGAAGAAGGGAAUUAUUUUAAAAGCUAAGCAAUCGAGGUUGAGCGGCGAUGGGGAGGACGGAUGUUGAGCAGUUAAAGUCAAAAUGCGUUUCACUUUGUUUUGGAUAAUGUCGUGUCGUCAUACCCGGCAUUAUCUGUCUCUUGAUCUUUUUCCGCUGCUUGUAAUCCGAAACA